rnacentral:lncRNA from 1 species
AUGCUAAUAGUUUGUGAAGGAGCGGAUGUAACUCCCCCAACCCCCCUUUUUUCUAGGGGAGGGGAGUUUGGCAAAAGGGGAAGGAGACGCCCUGGGGUCGGAUCACAUGAUAUUAUCUUCGCGCCACUUUCGCAAAAACCCUUUUUUUACUCCAGGUUUUGCUCCAGCUCAAAGCACGAGGACGGGAGCGCGUGGUGUGAGCAGCUGGAGCACACCCUGGACGCGCGGGCCGCUCCCGGACUUCAACGGGAGCAUUAGGUAAGGGUGUGAGAGAUGCGGGAAGAGGCAAAAGGGAGCCACAAAGGCGUACAGGGAAGGACUUCUUUCUUUCUUGGCAAUUUAAGGGGUUUGAAGAGUGACUGCCCAGCGCGCCCGAGGUAUACCAGAUGAACGGUUAAUUAGCAAACGGUAGUAACUACAAGGGCGCCCUUUCUGAUAGCAGCGGGGCUCAAUUUGGCCAGGUUGGGUUGACAAAUACUAUGCAUUUUCAGUCAAGUUUGGAGUAUUUUUAAUGGAAAAGAAAUCUUUACAGGCAUAGAAACCCAAUUUAAGAAGAAAAAUGUUACGUUUAGUGGCAUGGGGUAUCGUGAUGAAAGUUCAGCAUUUAAAAUUCCCUCACUCGUUUAGCGUAUUACAAAUUCUGUCCCAAACGUUUUUGGUUUUCUUUUAAACAAAAGUUACUCCAUCAUGGAAGAAGUAGGGGACCCUGUGAGCCUUUUCCACAUAGAGACUCACUUCCUCUCUGUUAUGUUCUUAGGUAAAAAAGCACUUGGAAAUGGGAGAAGGUUUUCUUAUGGAAGAUGGUGACAUAAAGGAAGGAAGAGCUAAUCUGCCUACUUUGGUUUAGUGGAGAAAAUGGGUCCGUAAACGUUUAAACAGAAGUAGAGCCCUUUGAAAUGGAUCAAAAUGUGACAUCUCUCAGCCAUCUGCACAUUAUGUGAAGAGUGUAAGGCUGUGUUUCUUAAACCAGCUCUAAAAUUUCUCUCAUUUUCUAUUAAUGGAGGGGGGGAGGCUGGGACUAUUCAUUUAAUCUAACAGAGUCUCUUUCCUUAUGGAGCCCAAAAGCUCUGCAUGAGCUGAAGACUGGAAUACUCACCCUGCGUUUUACAGGCUCCUUUCUCUAGGUCCUCCUCUUAUAAAAUCAGGGUGGAUAGAAUGGGCCUGCAUAUUACUGAGAUGCAGAUAUCAAGUUUUCUUAGAUGGAGAGGGGGAGUUCAAAAUCCGCUUAUACAUAAGAAUUGGACUUUUUGCAGUUGCCAGUGUUAUUCAUGUUCAAUUCUGUGUAAAUAAUUGAGAUUAUUAAUAUUUCUCAGGAUUUGGUUGAAACUACAAAACCUAACUUAGACUCUGUAAGCCGAAGGAAAGCCUGUUUCAGGAAUGUUAACUAGUAGUUGACUUGUUUAGUUUCUAAUAUGUGUAUGUGUGUUUUGUUGUUUUAACUAGGUGAGUCUGCACGGAUCUGUGAGCACAGAAAAGAAGAGCUCCUGGAAGACUUAAAAUUUUGCUACAGGAAUAGGCCUUGGCCAUGUAAAAGUGCUUACAGUGCAGGUAGCUUUUUGAGAUCUACUGCAAUGCAAGCACUUCUUACAUUACCAUGGUGAUUUAAUCAAUGGCUACUGAGAACUGUAGUUUGUGCAUAAUUAAGUGGUUGGUGCUUUUGAGCUGCUUCUUAUAAUGUGUCUCUUGUGUUAAGGUGCAUCUAGUGCAGUUAGUGAAGCAGCUUAGAAUCUACUGCCCUAAAUGCCCCUUCUGGCACAGGCUGCCUCAUAUACAGCAUUUUAAAAGUAUGCUUUGAGUAGUAAUUUGAAUAGGACAUGUUUCAAAGGUUUGUUUUUUGCUUUUUUCUUGUUUGUUGGGGACAGAUGGUGGGGACGGUGCAGUGUACGGUUGUAUACAGUGGAUAAGAUUGGGUCCUAGUAGUACCAAAGUGCUCAUAGUGCAGGUAGUUUUGGCAUGACUCUACUGUAGUGUGGGCACUUCUAGUACUCUUGGAUAACAAAUCUCUUGUUGGCGGAGAGAAUAUUCAAAGACAUUGCUACUUACAAUUAGUUUUGCAGGUUUGCAUUUCAGCGUAUACAUGUAUAUAUGGCUGUGCAAAUCCAUGCAAAACUGAUUGUGAUAAUGUGUUACUUCCUACGUCUGUGUGAACACACCUUCAUGCGCAUCUCCAGCACUCGUGCUCAUUCAUCCCUGGGUGGGGAUUUGUUGCAUUACUUGUGUUCUAUAUAAAGUAUUGCACUUGUCCCGGCCUGUGGAAGAAAGGAGGAUUUUAUCAUCUUCUUAUUUUAACUUUUAAAAGCUGUAAGUUCUGAUAUUUAGGCAUUGUAAAAUGAUCUGUUUUGCUGUUGUCGGGUGGAUCACGAUGCAAUUUUGAUUAGUAUCAUAGGAGAAAAAUUGCACGGUAUCCAUCUGUAAACCGCAGGACCUUUGUUGGCGACAUUCCUCAUCAGCACCACAGUAAGAUAGAUGGUAAAAUCCUUUCUCUAGCUGCUGCUUUUAAAAACUAAUUUGAAAUAGUAUUUGGAUUUCUAAAAACUAUGAUAACUAAUUUAUAAAGUAUGUGUUUUGGAACUUUGGUGAAUGAUCAGAUUGUUACUGAAUGUGAAUGAACCUCAAAAUAAAUGAAAUUUGUAGAUCUGAAAAAAUGACUCUUUUUUUGAAAAAAAAAUUAGCAAUGCUAGAGGA